rnacentral:rRNA from 1 species
GCUACGGGGGGCAGCAGUGAGGAAUAUUGGUCAAUGGGCGAGAGCCUGAACCAGCCAAGUCGCGUGAAGGAUGACGGCCCUACGGGUUGUAAACUUCUUUUGUCAGGGAGCAAUUGAGUCCACGUGUGGUCUUAGCGAGAGUACCUGAAGAAAAAGCAUCGGCUAACUCCGUGCCAGCAGCCGCGGUAAUACGGAGGAUGCGAGCGUUAUCCGGAUUUAUUGGGUUUAAAGGGAGCGUAGAUGGGUUGUUAAGUCAGUUGUGAAAGUUUGCGGCUCAACCGUAAAAUUGCAAUUGAUACUGGCAGUCUUGAGUACAGUUGAGGUAGGCGGAAUUCGUGGUGUAGCGGUGAAAUGCUUAGAUAUCACGAAGAACCCCGAUUGCGAAGGCAGCUUACUAAACUGUGACUGACAUUGAUGCUCGAAAGUGUGGGUAUCAAACAGGAUUAGAUACCCGAGUAGUC